CCUGGCGACCAUAGCAAGCGGGAACCACCCGAUCCCAUUCCGAACUCGGAAGUGAAACCGCUUAGCGCCGAUGAUAGUGCGGCCCCGCUGUCGUGCGAAAGUAGGUCAUCGCCAGGC
rnacentral:rRNA from 1 species